GACGAACGCUGGCGGCGUGCUUAACACAUGCAAGUCGAACGGAAAGGCCCUGCUUGCAGGGUGCUCGAGUGGCGAACGGGUGAGUAACACGUGGGUGAUCUGCCCCUUACUUUGGGAUAAGCCUGGGAAACUGGGUCUAAUACUGGAUAGGACCAUGCUGUAGGUGGUGUGGUGGAAAGAUUAGUUUCGGUAAGGGAUGAGCUCGCGGCCUAUCAGCUUGUUGGUGGGGCAAUGGCCUACCAAGGCGUCGACGGGUAGCCGGCCUGAGAGGGUGGACGGCCACAUUGGGACUGAGAUACGGCCCAGACUCCUACGGGAGGCAGCAGUGGGGAAUAUUGCACAAUGGGCGCAAGCCUGAUGCAGCGACGCCGCGUGGGGGAUGACGGCCUUCGGGUUGUAAACUCCUUUCAGCCAUGACGAAGCCCUUGUGGUGACGGUAGUGGUAGAAGAAGCACCGGCUAACUACGUG
rnacentral:rRNA from 1 species